rnacentral:rRNA from 1 species
UACGUAGGGUGCAAGCGUUGUCCGGAAUUAUUGGGCGUAAAGAGCUUGUAGGCGGUCUGUCGCGUCUGCUGUGAAAAUCCGGGGCUCAACCCCGGACUUGCAGUGGGUACGGGCAGACUAGAGUGUGGUAGGGGAGACUGGAAUUCCUGGUGUAGCGGUGAAAUGCGCAGAUAUCAGGAGGACACCGAUGGCGAAGGCAGGUCUCUGGGCCACUACUGACGCUGAGAAGCGAAAGCAUGGGGAGCGAACAGG